UACGGAAGGGGCAAGCGUUGUUCGGAAUCAUUGGGCGUAAAGGGCGCGUAGGUGGUUCUGUAUGUCUACCGUGAAAGCAUACGGCUCAACUGUAUUUUGUCGGGUAGAAACUGCAGGACUUGAGGCUGGGAGGGGCUGGUGGAAUUCCCUGUGUAGCGGUGAAAUGCGCAGAUAUCGGGAGGAACACCUAUGGCGAAGGCAGCUCGCUGGGACGUUACUGACGCUGGAGACGCGAAAGCGUGGGGAGCAAACAGG
rnacentral:rRNA from 1 species